GAUGAACGCUGGCGGCGUGCCUAAUACAUGCAAGUCGAGCGAACAGACGAGGAGCUUGCUCCUCUGACGUUAGCGGCGGACGGGUGAGUAACACGUGGAUAACCUACCUAUAAGAUUGGGAUAACUUCGGGAAACCGGAGCUAAUACCGGAUAAUAUAUUGAACCGCAUGGUUCAAUAGUGAAAGACGGUUUUGCUGUCACUUAUAGAUGGAUCCGCGCCGCAUUAGCUAGUUGGUAAGGUAACGGCUUACCAAGGCAACGAUGCGUAGCCGACCUGAGAGGGUGAUCGGCCACACUGGAACGGAGACACGGUCCAGACUCCUACGGGAGGCAGCAGUAGGGAAUCUUCCGCAAUGGGCGAAAGCCUGACGGAGCAACGCCGCGUGAGUGAUGAAGGUCUUCGGAUCGUAAAACUCUGUUAUUAGGGAAGAACAAAUGUGUAAGUAACUAUGCACGUCUUGACGGUACCUAAUCAGAAAGCCACGGCUAACUACGUG
rnacentral:rRNA from 1 species